rnacentral:rRNA from 1 species
AUUGAACGCUGGCGGAAUGCUUUACACAUGCAAGUCGAGCGGCAGCGCGGGGCAACCUGGCGGCGAGCGGCGAACGGGUGAGUAAUGCAUCGGAACAUGUCCAAGUCGUGGGGGAUAGCCCGGCGAAAGCCGGAUUAAUACCGCAUACGCCCGAGAGGGGAAAGCGGGGGACUCGCAAGGGCCUCGCGCGAUUGGGUUGGCCGAUGUCCGGUUAGCUAGUUGGCGGGGUAGGAGCCCACCAAGGCGAUGAUCGGUAGCUGGUCUGAGAGGAUGAUCAGCCACACUGGGACUGAGACACGGCCCAGACUCCUACGGGAGGCAGCAGUGGGGAAUUUUGGACAAUGGGGGCAACCCUGAUCCAGCCAUUCCGCGUGAGUGAAGAAGGCCUUCGGGUUGUAAAGCUCUUUUGUCCGGAACGAAACGGGUGCGGUGAAUAUCCGCGCCUACUGACGGUACCGGAAGAAUAAGCACCGGCUAACUACGUGCCAGCCGCCGCAGUAACAC